CCUACGGGGGGCAGCAGUGAGGAAUAUUGGUCAAUGGGCGUAAGCCUGAACCAGCCAAGUCGCGUGAGGGAUGAAGGUUCUAUGGAUCGUAAACCUCUUUUAUAAGGGAAUAAAGUGCGGGACGUGUCCCGGUUUGUAUGUACCUUAUGAAUAAGGAUCGGCUAACUCCGUGCCAGCAGCGGCGGUAAUACGGAGGAUCCGAGCGUUAUCCGGAUUUAUUGGGUUUAAGGGGUGCGAAGGCGGCCUUUUAAGUCAGCGGUGAAAGUCUGGGGCUCAACCCUAGAAUUGCCGUUGAAACUGGGCGGCUUGAGUAUUGUUGAGGCAGGCGGAAUGCGUGGUGUAGCGGUGAAAUGCUUAGAUAUCACGCAGAACCCCGAUUGCGAAGGCAGCUUGCCAAGCCAUGACUGACGCUGAUGCACGAAAGCGUGGGGAUCAAACAGGAUUAGAUACCCCGGUAGUC
rnacentral:rRNA from 1 species